AUUGAACGCUGGCGGCAGGCCUAACACAUGCAAGUCGAACGGUAACAGGAAGAAGCUUGCUUCUUUGCUGACGAGUGGCGGACGGGUGAGUAAUGUCUGGGAAACUGCCUGAUUGAGGGGGAUAACUACUGGAAACGGUAGCUAAUACCGCAUAACGUCGCAAGACCAAAGAGGGGGACCUUCGGGCCUCUUGCCAUCGGAUGUGCCCAGAUGGGAUUAGCUAGUAGGUGGGGUAACGGCUCACCUAGGCGACGAUCCCUAGCUGGUCUGAGAGGAGGACCGGCGGCACUGGAGCGGAGACACGGUCCAGGCUCCUACGGGAGGCAGCAGAGGGGAAUAUUGCACAGUAGGCGCAAGUCUUAUGCAGCGAUGCCGAGUGUAAGAAGGAGACGUUCGGGUUGUAAAGUACUUUCAGCGGGGAGGAAGGGAGUAAAGUUAAUACCUUUACUCAUUGACGUUAACCGCAGAAGAAGCACCGGCUAACUCCGUG
rnacentral:rRNA from 1 species